rnacentral:rRNA from 1 species
AACCAGCUCUUCAAGUGGUCGGGAAUAUUAUUGGGCUUAAAGUGUCCGUAGCCGGUUUGGUAAGUUCCUGGUUAAAUCUGGCAGCUUAACUGUCAGUCAGCUAGGAAUACUACUUUACUAGAGGGUGGGAAAGGUUUGAGGUACUCCAGGGGUAGCGGUGAAAUGCGAUAAUCCUUGGGGGACCACCAGUGGCGAAGGCGUCAGACUGGAACACGCCUGACGGUGAGGGACGAAAGCCAGGGGAGCGAACGGGAUUAGAUACCCCGGUAGUCCUGGCUGUAAACGAUGCGUGCUAGGUGUUGGUAGGGCUUUGAGCUGUAUCAGUGCCGUAGGGAAACUGUUAAGCGCGCCGCCUGGGAAGUACGCUCGCAAGGGUGAAACUUAAAGGAAUUGGCGGGGAAGCACCACAAGGGGUGAAGCCUGCGGUUC